UUCCCUUGUGUAUGAAAAACAUUCAUACGGGUACUGUUUAAUAUCAGUUUAAUAUCUGACCUGUCCCCUAUCUGGGGACCAUAUAUUAAAUAGAUUUUUGGAACAGGGAGAUGGAAUAGGGGCUUGCUCCGUCCACUCCACGCAUCGACCUGGUAUUGCAGUACCUCCAGGAACGGUGCACCCCCU